CCUAUUAUUAUGUGAAUUAGGACUUGUGAAGAAAAUUCCAGAAUUGUUGGAAUCCAUUCCGUCAAGAAAACUUGAACUCGGGAAGGCACGCGUCGACCAUGCGAGUGAGGCCAGGGAUCGAGGCGGGAAUGCAUGCUGAAUCUUAAUGCCACAGAGGAGUGUCCCGGGGCGUCUAGGAGUCUGUGCAUAAUUUUGUUUAGAUUUGUCAUGCAUUGUUUUGUAAACCGCUUACUUACUAUUCAUAUUUGAACACCUUGUUUUGGAUUUUAAA